rnacentral:lncRNA from 10 species
GCUUCCGGGCAGGCGCCAACCCGGGUGGUGGCGUUGCGCGGCGGACCUCUAGCCAGGGCCCGGGGUCCUGAGUCCCGCCCGGUUGUCGUCCCAGAGCCUCGCCGCGGGCUAGCGGCAGCCUUGGUCUGGACCCCGGAGUCCCGACUCCGGGAAGCGGCGUCGGCUCUGCCUUCAGCCCGCGCUCUCCUCGGCGCCCCCUGCUGGCGGGAGAAGGGCGGUGCAGUGGGGCGCGUUUCAGGGGCUCCCGGAAUCGAACGGGUGGGAGAGAGCCCAGGACCCUCGACCCCCCCAGCACUGGGGGGCCUGCCCCCAGCCCAGCCCUCCCUUCCAAGACCCUCCCUCCUGCAUCUCUUCAGGCGCAUGCCACGCACCCGAGCUGCUCCUGGCAGGGCAGCUGAAGGCAGCAAGGUGCAGUGGUUAGCAGCAGGGCUCUGGGGACCUGUCAUAGGGGGUCUCUUGACUUACCACCUUGGGCAGGUUUUCUCUCUCUCAAAACGGAGGUGGCUCCCGCCUGUAAUCCCAGCACUUUGGGAGGGCGAGGCGGGAGGAUCACUUGAUCCUAGGAGUUUGAGACCAGCCUGGGCAACAUAGGGAGGCCCCAUUUAAAUUUUUAAAACUUAGCCAGGCUUGGUGGCACAUGCCUGUAGUUCCAGCUAUUGGGGAGGCUGAGGUGGGAGGGUCGCUUGAGUCCGGGAGGUCGAGGCUGCGAUGAGCCAUGAUCGUGUCACUGUACUUCAGCAGUGGUGAAAGAGCAAGACCCUGUCUCAAAAACAAAACGGAGGUGAAAAUUCCCAACUCACUGUUAUAAAACCCAUGUCACAGAGCAUGCCUCAAAAAAUGUGCAUUUCCAGACCCUUGGGGACACCCCAGUCUUCAAACCGUUGGGUGGGAGUGGGAGCCUCACCCAGCGUUUUCCUCCCAGCAUUAGACCAAUGUAACACUCUUUGAAGAGCUUCCCUUUGCAUUUUGGUGGAGUCAGUAGUUGUGGCAGAGGUUUAUUUUCCUUUUUCUGGCUUUGUAAUAAAAAUAAACUAGGAGGCAAAGAUACCAGCUCCUCUUCAGGAUAGAAAGCUGCUGAGACUUCCUGAUGUUACUUCAUCCUUUGCAAGCAGGAACUGUCUCUCCAGGAUCUGUCCAGUGGUCAUCCUCCAAUAGCAACAGCUACCCUUUGUCAAACACUCCAUGCAGGGCACUGUGUAGACACUUGACAGCCAUGACCUCAUUUAACACAACCUAAGGAGGUGGCGAUCUAUUCCCAUUUUAAUCCAAGAGGGAACUGAGGCUCAGAGAGGUUGAGUGACUUAUCCAAAGUCACACAGCUAGUAAAUGGCAGACUUGGGAUGAACUCCCUUGUCUCUCUGACUUCUUAUAGCAACAGAACAUCCAAGCAUAGGAUUUUAGGCAACCUGCCUAUAACUGCAGGCACCUGGGCAGACAGGUAGUCUCGCUCUUGAAUUGCUAUUGCACUUGAGUUGUUUUCUUGAGAUCUGUCCCCAAGGGUGAGAUACGUGUGCACCCAGGGCACAGGAAUACAUCAUCUUGUCAGGUUUCCUCCGGACUGCUGAGCUGAUUCUUAUGCCCAGAGGUUUUCCUACAGAUCAGCCUUGGGCCUCAUCAUUUUAACUGAUUUUUGCUAAAUUCGUUGAUAAGAGUUAGGGUCUUCUUGGCUGUGACACAAUAUUUGCAUAUCAUUAAGUACUAUAAAGACUAAAAUAGUUCCUGAGUUUUUGACCCUCCUCUGCCAAGUGUCUCAAAGUUGUUGGCCCUCUGUCUGUCC